CGAGGCUGCUCACAGCGCUGCUGGACUCUUUAAGCCCUGAGGUCAUGUGAAAAGAAGUUUGCCCUGUGUCCUUCUGUCUCCUGUUGGCUGUCCACAAAAUGGAGAAGGCGGAAGCAACCUGAGGCGUCCUCUUUGUCUGUAAAGAUAGAGAGUCCAUUGUGGAAGGGGGAGAUACAGGAACUAUAUAGGCGAGGCUCUACCGGACUGCAUCUCUUAUCUCCAGAAUUCUUUUACAGAAAAGAAAAAAAUAAACUUUUAUCUGGCUUAAGCCACUACUGUUUCUGGGCUCUGUUACUAGCUGCCAAAUGCAAAUCUUAACUGAUAGAAAAGUCCUUGACGGAGUUUGAGCUGGUGAAUGGAUGCUGCCUGUUCAGUGGCUCUGCAGUGGUGGAUCUGUGGGAGUGGAGCAUCCUGGAGGGUACCAGGAGAUAAAGAUGGCUUGGCAGAUGGGGGCAGACAGUGAGAAUACACCUCACAAGGUGUCACGGACUUUCUUUUCCCCCAGGACACCUCUGCUGAAGUACUGUUAUACAGUGGCUCUUUAAACGUCUAUUGAUGGAGUAAUUUGAAGUCCGCUCCUGUCAGCUGGCCUCAAAGCUGGGCUAUUUAGAA
rnacentral:lncRNA from 1 species